rnacentral:rRNA from 1 species
UACGGGGGGGGCAAGCGUUGUUCGGAAUUAUUGGGCGUAAAGAGCUCGUAGGCGGUUUGUCGCGUCUGCUGUGAAAACUCGGGGCUUAACUCCGGGCCUGCAGUGGGUACGGGCAGACUAGAGUGCGGUAGGGGAGACUGGAAUUCCUGGUGUAGCGGUGAAAUGCGCAGAUAUCAGGAGGAACACCGGUGGCGAAGGCGGGUCUCUGGGCCGUAACUGACGCUGAGGAGCGAAGGCCAGGGGAGCAAACGGG